rnacentral:rRNA from 1 species
CAAUAGCGUAUAUUAAAGUUGUUGCAGUUAAAAAGCUCGUAGUUGGACCUUGGACCUGGACAGGCGGUCCGCCUCACGGCGUGUACUGUCUUGCUGGGUCUUUCCUCUUGGUGAUCUGUUGUUUCGGCAGCAGGGAACCAGGACUUUUACUUUGAAAAAAUUAGAGUGUUCAAAGCAGGAUCGACGCCGGAAUAUAUUAGCAUGGAAUAAUAAAAUAGGACGUGCGGUUCUAUUUUGUUGGUUUUUGGAAUCGCCGUAAUGAUUAAUAGGGACAGUCGGGGGCAUUAGUACUCACAUGCUAGAGGUGAAAUUCUUGGAUUUUGUGAAGACUAACUUCUGCGAAAGCAUUUGCCAAGGAUGUUUUCAUUAA